UGAGAUCAAUCCUAACCCUAAUCCUAACUAUUUUUUUAGUAUUAAUUAUUAUUUUUUUAAAUUAACCUAAAAUUCAUCCACAUAAACCUAAUAAAAAUUGCAUGAUAAGAUUAGAAACUUUAAUUGUUAGAAGCAUUCAUCAUCUUAGAUUUUCUUUUGGUGAUCGUUGGAGACAAGAUAAGCUUUCAAGUUUAAUUAAUUUCAUGCAUUUAAUUUAGUUGCAUAGAAUCUCUUGUUUGAAAUUGGUUGUGCAUAUUCAUCUCAAAUCAAUUUAAGGGCAGCACCAAUAAUAAGAUAAGGUCAGGAUUUCAUCACCCUUCUUUAGCCCAAAAACAACCAACC
rnacentral:lncRNA from 1 species